CCUACGGGGGGCAGCAGUGAGGAAUAUUGGUCAAUGGACGAGAGUCUGAACCAGCCAAGUAGCGUGAAGGAUGACUGCCCUAUGGGUUGUAAACUUCUUUUAUAAAGGAAUAAAACGAGGCACGUGUGCCUUUUUGCAUGUACUCUAUGAAUAAGCAUCGGCUAACUCCGUGCCAGCAGCCGCGGUAAUACGGAGGAUCCGAGCGUUAUCCGGAUUUAUUGGGUUUAAAGGGAGCGUAGAUGGGUUGUUAAGUCAGUUGUGAAAGUUUGCGGCUCAACCGUCAAAGUGCAAUUGAUACUGGCAUUCUUGAGUACAGUUGAGGUAGGCGGAAUGCGUGGUGUAGCGGUGAAAUGCUUAGAUAUCACGAAGAACCCCGAUUGCGAAGGCAGCUUACUAAACUGUGACUGACAUUGAUGCUCGAAAGUGUGGGUAUCGAACAGGAUUAGAUACCCUAGUAGUC
rnacentral:rRNA from 1 species